CCGAGCUGAAACCAAGAGUUGGAUGCUCAACCGACUGAGCCUCCGAGGCACCCCAGUCUUGCUUAUUUUGAGGAUGUGAGGGUGUAGAUAACCUAGUAGGGUACUUGAUGAGGAUAUAGGUCAAGGAAUGUUGCUGUCUCUCUUCCUCAUGCUCCUCUGCCUCUCCAGAAAGCAAUCUGCUGGCCAGCCUGCCUCCCGAGUGCGGUCCUCACCAUCGGUGGUGACAGCCGCUGCUGUUAGCUGUGAACUGUGAACUGUGAACCCCAGUGCUGGGCUGUUGGGCCAAAGGGAGUGCCUGAUGGGCAUCUGUCAUCUGCAGAAGGCUUCUGGAGGCUGGCUUCCUCACUGUGGCCACGAGUCUUCAUUUCACAACCUUUCUCAAGUGAUGCAUUUCAGGGCACGCUUUCAAAAUUAUUCCAUCAGAAGAUUUCUGGGUCCACAGAUGACUGUAGAUCUGGACAUCUCUUCCCCUAGGUAUGUUGCCUUUCAUAUCAUUGACAUGUUCCUUUUCUCGCCCCUGUUAGCACUCUCAUCUCAGUUCCAGGGCAGAGCAGGCCUUUGUCAAGGGGAAGAGGGAUGAGUAUUGAUUCCCAGCACUGGUAGCCUUGCCUGGCCAUGCCCAUUCCUACCUCGUGCAACAAGUCCUCCUUUUUCUUUGUGGCUCUGUGCUCUUCUUCAAAGUGUGCUCCUGAGGCCUUCCUAUCUUUGAGCUCAUGGAGGGGUGAAGUCUUUCUCUGGGUCUGCAUCCGAAUCCAUGGUCCAGCCUGGUCUUGACCAGCAGCCAGUCUGUGACCAGAGAGGGUGAAGGGGGACCCCUGUUCAGGGAUCCUGGAACCACACCCUAGCAACCGUUGUCUUGAGACUGUCUGGCCUCAAGGAGCUGUCUAGCAAGUAGGGGAAAGAUCAGAGAUAAAUAACUGGUACCCUGUGAUGACUGCUGCCAUGAAAGUGGGCACGAAGCCAGAGCUGGCACAAAGGAGGAAGGAGUCUGUAUCUCUCGGCAGAAGCCAGCACGGGCUCUAGAAGAGGUGACAUUUAGAUUAAGUUCCCAUACACCAGCCAGGUGGGGAGGGACAGUCCAGGCAUAGUGAAUCCCUAGAAACACUUCUUGGGUUCUCCAAAGAUCCUCUCCUCAACAGUCUCUCCUCCUACAACCUUAGAGAUACCUUGAUUAAUGGUGGUUUCCUCGGUGUCCCUGGUAGAACCAGGGGGAAGGACAAAGCGUGGCGCUCAAUAUGGAAACAGCUAGCAUCAAGGUCCCAAAAAUUCUCACUCAAGGUAGCCAUUUACAAAUCUCUUCCGGGUUGCUGUCUGACGGUGCUGUUCAUCCUUCCAAGCUGGAUCUGUUCAUAACAGUGGAAUUACAAAAAAAUAGAAAAUAUCUGAUUUCAAUACAGUGCAUUGAGUGUUGACCCUAUAGUGGUUAGGAAGGCCGACUGUGUCACUUACUAGUUCUGCGACCUUCAGCAAUGACUUCACCCUUUCUGCCUCAGUGUUCUCAUCUGUAAAAUAGGGGCAAUGUUGGAAGCAACCUCACAAAGUUGCUAGGAGGAGUAGUGGGUGUGUCUUAAUAAAAAAUGUAUAUUUGUUCUUUGUCCCAGUUCUUGACACAGAACUCCUAAAUCCCUUGGGAUUUCCUAGAUUAUAGGAGGAUUUUUUUGUUCUGUGGUGACUCUUAGUGGACCUCUAGAUAGCUUCAGGAUGUGGUCUGGUCACCAGAAAGAUCAAGCCUUAUUUAGAAACCUAACACUUUCUGCCCAACUCUCUGACUCUUGGAGAGAGAGGCUGGAGGUUGAGUGAAUGCGCAAUGGCCAGUGAUUUAAUCAAUUAUACCUACAGAAUGAAACCACUGUAAGAACCCCUAAAUUGGGGGUUUGGAGAGCUUCUGGGUUGCUGGGAGGUUGGCACAGAAACUCUGUGCCCUUUCCCCCACAUCUAGCCCUCCCAGGGGCUCCUCCAUUCGGUUGGUCCUGAGCUGUAUCCUUUAUAAUAAACUGACAACAAGUACUUUCCUGAGUCCUGUGGGUUGUUCAAGCAAAUGAUCAAACUUUCGGAUAGGGCUGUGAUCUGAGUCUACAGCUGGCCAGUGACAACAUGGGAUUUGCAACUGGCAUUUGAAGUGGGGGAGUCUUAGGGGACUGAGCCCUUCACCUGUGGGAUUUGAUGCUAUCAGGUGGUUAGAUAGGGUCAGGAGAGAUUGAAUUGGAGGACACCCAGGUGGAACCUGGGGAACUGGAGGACUUGGUUUUGGUGUGGAAAAAACCUAGAAGUGCUGUGAGUAGAAACAGCCCAGAGUGGGCUUAUUUGGCAAACAGAAUAAUGUCCCUGCAUGGUGUGGAUACUCUCAAACCGAGAGCCUGUGAGUCUGUCACUUUUCCUGGCAAAAGAGACUUUGCAGCUGUGAUUAAACAUCUCGGGAUAGGAAGAUCCUCAAGCAUACCCAAGUGGGCCCCAUGUAAUCACAAGUGUUAUAUACAAGUCGGAGGCAGAAGAGCCAGUGGAUGGAGAAAGGGCCACAGUCAAGGAACACAGGAAGCUUCUAGAAGCUGGAAAGCACAAGGAGCAGAUUCACUCGUCGAGCCUCCAACAGGAUCACGGCCCAGCUGCCACCUCGAUUUUCACCCCGUGAGACAAAUUUGGAACUUCUGACCACCAGAACUGUAAGGUAAUAAAUUUGUGUUGUUUUAAGCCACUAAGUUUGUAGUGAUUUGUUACAGCAGGAUUGGGAAGCUCAAUCGAUGCUUGUAAAGUGCUCAGAACAGAGCCUGGCAGUUGGGGAACGCUCCCUAAGGUUGCCUAUUAUUGUCGUGAUUUCUUGCCACCAAGUUCUAGGUUAGACUCAGCGUUGCUCUCGUGUUGAAGGGAAACAACAAUGACAUCACCCACCAUCAGCAGCAAGUUCCUGACAUCCUGAAGUUUACACUCAGGAGGAGGGGACAGAUUACAAACAAAGAAGUAAAUAAAUGUUAGUGAGGAGGAAGAAAGCAAAGGGGACCAACACUGCUGAGCUCCCGAGGUUGGGGUCUGUGAAAAUGAGUGGCAAAGUUGGGAAAUUUCUUAAGACAACGUGACAUUGGAGCAGAAGGCCUGAGUACAGAAGGGACAGGGCCCAGUGGGGCUCCCCAGGCAGAUGAAGCAGCCAGCUUGAAGGCCCAGAUGAUGACACCUUGAGGAGGGGGUUGGGCAAGUGGAACCACCCGGAACCACAAUAACUCUGUGGAACCACAGAGAUAAUGUGAAGGCGAGACCCUGAGGACUGUGCAGGGAGCAGACAAACCAGUUGGGAGGAAGGUGGUGGAUUCAUUCACUUUGUGGAUUACACAGCUUCUUCCUUGCCCUCCCAAGUCAAGCCCAUCGAUUGCUUUUUAACCCCUUCCUGGCUGUGUGCUGCUUCUUUCAGGUGGAGAAAGAGGAAGGGGAAAAAAAGACUGGAUUUCAGCGACUAUGAACUAAGAAGGUUCUAUGAAGAAUGAAUUGAAGCUAUUGGUAGAAAUUAGGGGGGAAAAAAUCUAGCUGUAAGGACAGCACCUAAAGACCUGAACUUUUGAGUGGACCCCAGAUGAAUAUGAAUGAAGAGCACAGCUCUCUUUUGCAAAGCUGACGCAGGACGAGGAUGUUCCCGCCAGCGGGCUUCUGCUUGUCAUCCUUUCAAAUGUCAUGGUCAGACCUAGGAAAUUCCCUGGGAAGUCCCCUGCAUCCCAGGGUCUGCAGUUUGUCCAUUUGAGUAUGAUUCUGUUGGAUCUUGAGAGACUGUUUGAUCUUCAGGAAGCUAUUAUUAUGAAAUAGAUCUUUCUGCGGUGAGGAGACACAGUGGUACCCGGAGAGAUGAACGGGGUGGACCGGGAAAUGGGAAUCUGCGUCCUGACUUCAGUCCUGCCCCUACUGGCCUGGUGGCGUGAGGAAAGGCCUGUUUUUCCCUGGUCUCCACGGCUUUCUCUAUACGACGAAACGCCAUGGAGAUGGCGAGAGUGGAAGCAGUGGCCGUCGUGAUUAUGGUUCCCAGAUUCUAAAGAUCUUUCCCCUAAUUACUCUGGCUGGGUCCUCCAAACAAUCCCAUGAGGACGUUAGAGAAUACGCCAAGGUCUCUAUUUUACUAAAGGAGAAAGUGUAACUUGAAGACGUCAAGGCACUCACCCAGAGUCCUACAGCUGAAGACAAGGGCCCAGGAUCAUUCGUUCUGGAUGUGGAGAACUUUGUAUUCACCCAGCUUACCUUACACUGAUGCUUACCUCCUGGCGCGGACAAGUCCUGGAUGAGGUACGUCACCAGCUAGAAAUGGUCCUUCUGACUUUUUGAGAACUUCUUUCCCCUUAGUGAAAAACUGAACCUGUUUGCCCCAGUUUCUCAGCCACCUUAUGACUCGGCGAGCAAUUGCUUUAACUCUGACAAAAUGAGGCCACCUCCAACCUAAAUGGAGCCCGUUUUCAGAGUAAGACCCUGAGUGGAGACAGCUCUUUCCUGGAAGGAUAACAAAAGCAUGCUUUUGUGUGUAUUUCACUUGAUGGAAAGGAAUCCCCAGCGAGGCCAUUUUUUCCCCCUGAAUUCUCUCAAGUCCAGAAUGUAGCCAAGUUUCCAAGAUAAUCUCAGAAGAGCCAUUCAUCUAUGAAGAUGGCCAAAUUGUCUUCCAGCUCAGUAGACAGGGUAUGUUUGAGAGGGGAGGUGUGGGGGUGAAGAGAGGGGUGUGGGGAGAGGAUGAGGGAGACAGCAAGGGAGUGAGAUGUAUGAGGGAAAAAUGUGUGCCGACAAACGCUGACGGGGAGAGGAGAGAAACCAAAGGGCCAGCCCUGACUCUGGGGUCCGACCUGCCAGGGACACUUCCAGCUGAUCUUUUUUAGGACCUGUCACAGUCUGCCUGGCGAGCUGUCACUUCUCAUCACUUGGCUCUCACUGAGGAUCUUUGUGUCAUCACUGUCAUGAAGAGACCUGGCAACUGGCGCAGAAUUUCCUGGGGCGCUACCUGAUACGCCAUUAUUCGCCUCUUAUCAUCUUCGCAGAGUAGUUAGGCUGCUGUCAGAGAAAAUUUGCAAGAUGAAACCCAAGAGACAGAGCAUGCCAGAUGUUGUGGAGAGCACGACUGCCCAGUCCCUUUGGCCACACAUGCUGAAGUCAUGAAGUUGGGAAAUCUGACUCAGGAGUCACUGUCCAGUGUGGGAGCUGACGAAGCGCCAAAUGGUCUGGGACAACUGGUAACCCAGCCAGUCCCUGGAGCGUGGGCCUGGUGUGAGGGCUUUUUUGGGCAGAGAUCAGUCGGAGGGAGACUGGAGGGCUGGGAUUACUUCUGGAAUGUCAUGUUCUGGGAAGCCCUGAAAGGUCAGAUCACUUCUGGGGUCAGUAUCAGCCCCGGGCUUGGUAUCCCUGCGUUUGCAAGAGAAGUCCUGAGCACCUGGGGUGAAUGGUACCUUGGGUGAAUGGAACAGCACGUUGGAUGCGUACGCCUAAGCCAAACGAUAUAGGACAUUCAAUAGUUCAAAUGGGAGAAAGUGAGAAAGCACCUACUUCCGUGCUUUUUCUAAUACAGCUUCAUCUUUAUUAGAAUUACAGUGUGAUUCAGUCAUCACUGGGUAUACAAAUGAACAAACACAAUAGAGUAAACAAGGUUUUCACCUCAGGCUCGAAGUUCAACUUGUCACUCGCCUAGCCCAUUUACAAUUAGUUCUCUUCUGUCUCAUGCUGUUUUUCCAGGUUGAGGUGGCAUAUUUGCACCAGCCUUGUAUGGAAUCAGGAGCCUUGAGCUGUGUGCUCAGUCUUGACACAACCCCACCAGGAUCUUCUUCUCCAGCCUUGCUGUCAGCUCCGGAAGCCAUCUUGGCUGCCUCUGCUUCCCUGGAGACAACGGCCCCUUUCUGGCCUCCCAUGAAACACAUUUCGCAGACACGGAGUCCUCUCAUCAGCCGUGCCUCCGUACCCUGGUUCUCAACGAAGUUUGCAUAAUGGUCCCCUGGGACACUCGUGAUAAAUGCAGAUCACUGGCUGUCCUCCACAGAGGUCUGAGUGGGCCCCUGCAGACCGCCACAUUCUUAGUCCGUUCCCAGGUGAGUCUGACAGAGUGGCUGAGAGCGGCUGGCAUGCCCGGGACAGCUGCCUCAGGAACUUUUCUUUCCGAGGAGGCCUCAGCAUGCCUCCUUCUGUCCCCGCCGACCCGGCAGGUGCAGACAUUUGCUAACAGAAGUUCUUUGCUGUAUUGCUGUCUGUCAGAGCAUUUUACAACUAGCUUUCUGCAGAACAGUAAAAAACAAAAGGGUACAGCUUAAACAUAGCCAAACAACUUUUAACAGAGCAGUAAAGUGAUUUCCUCACCGGGCUCUGCUCUGCAGAUCUGCGAAGCUCUGCUCACUCUGGACCUUCUUGUACGUUUACCCUGGGCCCACCUCCGAUGCCCCCUCACGCAGACCUGGACCGCCAAGUGGAAAGUAGUCUCCAGGGAUCAUCACACUGGCUUAUUUCAGACCUGGGUCCCCCAGGGGCAGCUGGGAGCUGGCCGAGGCCUCAGGGCAGCUGAGAGCAGAGCCUCAUGCCCAGUGCUGCCUGGUGGCCUUCUGAGCUCCGCCACCUGGGUGGUCUGCAUGCUGGCAGAGCACAAGGCUGCGGGAGUUCACAGCCCCUCUGGGGGACAUGACGGAUGGCCUUGCUGACAAACCGUGGUCUGCUUUCCAUCUCUGAGCCAUGAACGGUUUCGUUUUCAAAGCCAGAAAACAAACCACGGGAACCAGACACAACACACGCAGGCCACAAAUGAUGCAGCCAUAUUCUCGUCUCAAGGAAGGGACCUGCAAAGGUAAAAGAAAAACAGUUUUGUUAGAACUCUUCGAUGAAAAGUUAAUACAGCAAACUCAACCAGAGCUUGUAAUGGGAUGCUCUGCACCAUCCCUGACUGGGCCUUCUGACCCGGUUGACAGUCAGUCCUCUCUGGUGGGCAAACCUAUCUGAUGCACUCCAUCCUGGGGAGCUUCCCAGGCCACCAUGGUGGGGGAUUUGGACAGGCCAGGGGAGGCUCUGGGACUCUGCACUCACCAGCUGCGUUUCUAUCUGACUUAUUCAUAGAGUGCUGCCAAAAUCCCACUUGAGGAAAACAUUCUGCAGGUAAACAACAGUGGAACUAUUCCAG